UACGGGAGGGGGCUAGCGUUGUUCGGAUUUACUGGGCGUAAAGCGCACGUAGGCGGCGUAUCAAGUCAGAAGGUGAAAGGCCUGGGCUCAACCUAGGAACGGCUUUGAUACUGGUAUGCUUGAGUUCGGAAGAGGGUAGUGGAAUUACCAAGUGUAGAGGUUGAAAAUUCGUAGAUAUUUGGAAGAACACCGGUGGCGAAGGCGGCUACCUGGUCCGAUACUGACGCUGAGGUGCGAAAGCGUGGGGAGCGAACAGGAUUAGAUACCCGCGUAGUCC
rnacentral:rRNA from 1 species